CCCUUAGAUGUCCUGGGCCGCACGCGCGCUACACUGAGUGUCUGAGAUACGAGUCUGCCUGGUCCGGCAAGGUCUAGGUAAUCGCUAAAAGACACAUCAUGCUUGGGAUAGAUUAUUGCAAAUAUUAAUCUUGAACGAGGCAUUCCUAGUAAGCGCAAGUCAACAGCUUGCGUUGAUUACGUCCCUGCCCUUUGUACACACCGCCCGUCGCUACUACUGAUUGGAUGUUUAAGCGAGGUUCUCGAACUGCUAGCGACUUAGCUUCGGUGAGGUCGCAGUGUGGGAAGUGAACCUAGCUUUGGUGUCUAGAGGAAGUAAAAGUCGUAACA
rnacentral:rRNA from 1 species